UAGACUGGUUCUCCCUCCUCCUCUCUAAUGUAGCUGUACUAGACUGGUUCUCCCUCCUCCUCCUCUCUAAUGUAGCUGUACUAGACUGGUUCUUCCUCCUCCUCUCUAAUUUAGCUGUACUAGACUGGUUCUCCCUCAUCCUCUCUAAUGUAGCUGUACUAGACUGGUUCUCCCUCCUCCUCCUCUCUAAUGUAGCUGUACUAGACUGGUUCUCCCUCCUCCUCCUCUCUAAUGUAGCUAUACUAGACUGGUUCUCCAUCCUCCUCUCUAAUGGAGCUGUACUAUACUGGUUCUCCCUCCUCCUCCUCUCUAAUGUAUAUACACUAGACUGGUUGUCCCUCCUCCUCACUAAUUUAGCUAUGCUAGACUGGUUCUCCCUCCUCCUCCUCUCUAAUGUAGCUGUACUAGACUGGUUCUCCCUCCUCCUCCUCUCUAAUACAGCUGUACUAGACUUGUUCUCCCUCCUCCUCUCUAAUGUAGCUCUACUAGAGUGGUUGUCCCUCAUCCUCUAUUAUGUUGCUAUACUAGACUGGUUCUCCCACCUCCUCCUCUCUAAUGUAGCUGUACUAGACUGGUUAUCUCUCCUCCUCCUCUCUAAUGUAGCUGUACUGGAUCGGUUCUCCCUCCUCCUCUCUAAUGUGUCUAUAAUAGACUGGUUCUCGCUCGUCCUCCUCUUUAAUGUAGAUGUACUAUACAGGUUCUCCCUCCUCCUCUCUAAUAUAUCUAUACUAGACUGGUUUUCCCUCCUCCUCCUCUCUAAUGUGGCUAUACUAGACUGGUUCUCCCUCCUCCUCCUCUCUAAUGUAUCUAUACUAGACUGGUUUUCCCUCCUCCUCUCUAAUGUAUCUAUCAUAGACUGGUUCUCCCUCCUCCUCCUCUUUAAUGUAGCUGUACUAGAAUGGUUCUCCUUCCUCCUCCUCUCUAAUGUAGCUAUACUAGACUGGUUCUCCCUCUUCCUCCUCUCUAAUGUAGCUAUACUAGACUGGUUCUCUCUUCUCCUCUCUAAUAUAGCUGUACAUGACUGGUUCUCCAUCCUCCUCACUAAUGUAUCUAUACUAGACUGGUUGUCCCUCCUCCUCCUCUCUAAUGUAGCUCUACUAGACUGGUUGUCCCUCCUCCUCUAUUAUGUUGCUAUACUAGACUGGUUCUCCCUCCUCCUCCUCCUCUCUAAUGUAGCUGUACUAGACUGGUUCUCUCUCCUCCUCCUCUCUAAUGAAGCUGUACUAGAUUGGUUCUCCCUCCUCCUGCUCUCUAAUGUAUCUAUAAUAGACUGGUUCUCGCUCGUCCUCCUCUUUAAUGUAGCUAUACUAUACAGGUUCUCCCUAAUCCUCCUCUCUAAUGUAGCUAUACUAGACUGGUUCUCCCUUCUCCUCCUCUCUAAUGUUGCUUUACUAGACUGGCUCUCCCUCCUCCUCCUCUCUAAUGUAGAUGUACUAGACUGGUUCUCACUCCUUCUCCUCUCUAAUGUAGCUGUACUAGAUUGGUUCUCCCUCCUCCUCUCUAAUGUAUCUAUACUAGACUGGUUUUCCCUCCUCCUCUCUAAUGUAGCUAUAGUAGACUGGUUCUCCCUCCUCCUCUCUUAUGUUGCUAUACUAGACUUGUUCUCCCUCCUCCUCUCUAAUGUAUCUAUACUAGACUGGUUUUCCCUCCUCCUCCUCUAUUAUGUAGCUGUACUAGACUGGUUCUCCCUCCUCCUCCUCUCUAAUGUAGCUGUACUAGACUGGUUCUCCCUACUCCUCCUCUCUAAUGUAGCUAUACUAGACUGGUUCUCCCUCCUCCUCCUCUCUAAUGUAGCUAUACUAUACUGGUU
ensembl:lncRNA